GUUCACAUAGCUUAACAUAAAGCAUGGCACUGAAGCUGCCAAGACGGCACACGAGCAUGCCUGCGAACA
rnacentral:tRNA from 1 species